GAUGAACGCUGGCGGCGUGCCUAAUACAUGCAAGUCGAGCGAAUAGAUGAGAAGCUUGCUUCCCUGAUGUUAGCGGCGGACGGGUGAGUAACACGUGGGUAACCUACCUAUAAGACUGGGAUAACUCCGGGAAACCGGGGCUAAUACCGGAUAAUAUUUUGAACCGCAUGGUUCAAUAGUGAAAGACGGUUUCGGCUGUCACUUAUAGAUGGACCCGCGCCGUAUUAGCUAGUUGGUAAGGUAACUGCUUACCAAGGCGACGAUACGUAGCCGACCUGAGAGGGUGAUCGGCCACACUGGAACUGAGACACGGUCCAGACUCCUACGGGAGGCAGCAGUAGGGAAUCUUCCGCAAUGGGCGAAAGCCUGACGGAGCAACGCCGCGUGAGUGAUGAAGGUCCUCGGAUCGUAAAACUCUGUUGUUAGGGAAGAACAAAUUUGUUAGUAACUGAACAAGUCUUGACGGUACCUAACCAGAAAGCCACGGCUAACUACGUGCCAGCAGCCGCAGUAA
rnacentral:rRNA from 1 species